rnacentral:rRNA from 1 species
UACAGAGGUCCCAAGCGUUGUUCGGAUUCAUUGGGCGUAAAGGGUGCGUAGGCGGCGCGGUAAGUCGGGUGUGAAAUCUCGGAGCUUAACUCCGAAACUGCAUUCGAUACUGCCUUGCUCGAGUACUGGAGAGGAGACUGGAAUUUACGGUGUAGCAGUGAAAUGCGUAGAUAUCGUAAGGAAGACCAGUGGCGAAGGCGAGUCUCUGGACAGUUACUGACACUGAGGCACGAAGGCCAGGGAGCAAACGGG